rnacentral:sRNA from 1 species
AAGAAGGCCCCACUCAUGGUUCACACCUGCUGCUAUGUUACCUGGAGCCUCAGUCACCUUUUCUGUAAAAUGGGGCUGAGAACAGGAGAUUGAUCGGAUGGCGUUAGAUUUGGCAAAUGCAGGCAUUUUAAAAAUGAGAAUUGGAGGAAUUGCUAUGAUUUACCCAAAGUUUGGAUCGCCAUAUGCAAACCCACCACGGACACCAUAAACCAUUCCGAUGCAAACUCUGCUCCUUCAAGUCCUCCUAUAACAGCCGGCUGAAAACACAUAUACUCAAAGCUCAUGCUGGUGAGCAUGCCUACAAGUGUUCUUGGUGCUCAUUCUCCACCAUGACAAUCAGCCAGCUGAAGGAACACUCCCUCAAGGUCCACGGAAAAGCCCUGACCCUCCCCAGGCCACGGAUCGUCAGUCUCCUCUCCUCACACUCCCACCACUCCUCCCAAAAAGCUACCCCGGCUGAAGAAGUGGAAGACUCCAAUGACUCAUCAUAUUCAGAGCCCCCAGAUGUUCAGCAGCAGUUGAACCACUAUCAGUCAGCUGCCCUGGCAAGGAACAACAGCCGUGUUAGCCCUGUGCCUCUUUCUGGGGCUGCUGCUGGCACUGAGCAGAAAACUGAAGCCGUGCUUCACUGCGAAUUCUGUGAAUUCUCCUCCGGCUACAUCCAGAGCAUCAGGCGUCAUUACCGGGACAAGCAUGGUGGG